rnacentral:lncRNA from 1 species
AAAAUAGGCUGGAGAAAGCUGAAUGUUUUAGAUCUCUUCCUAAUUAGUUUUCCCUUUUGCACCAACCUUUUAAAGAACUUCUGCAUUUAUUUCUUAUUUGAUAUCCAACACAUACAAAUACCUAGUAAGCAGAACGGUAAAAUGUGUCUAUUAUUCCACUGGGGUCCCCAGAAGUGGACACAAAGACAACUGUGUUGCAAGGAGCUAUUAAUGCCAUAAAUUCAGCUGGAGAACUUGCUUACAGACAUGCAUGUUUUAUGACACUGAAUUAAGAAUUGGGACAGCUGAGGAAUCAACUCCUAUUUGUUCUGCUACCCCCACUACAGCUGGAGGUCAUGGAAUUCUGAGUCUGCCUGAACUUGUCUUUAAACCCUGAACUUGUAAGAUUUUAAACAUGUGUUUGAUUUGAUACAUGUGAACACUAGACAAGUCAAUGAGAUGACUUACACUAUGAAAAGGAACUCAGCCUAGUCUCCUGGCAUUCCCUAUGGGUGGUUGGUUUGCUGGAAAAAUACUUGAAGAUGCAUUCAAUUUACGUGAGAAGAGAAUUUCAUAAGGAGAACUUGCUCUUCAAAAAACUCAAAUACAUGCCCGAGACAAAAGCUCACAUCAUGGAGAAAAAGAGUCAUGUUAACACCAGUUGCAAUAACAAUGACUCCCACAGUUUCUUCAGAGGGCACCCAUAAAGAGGAGUGGUAGGUGUGAAGGUCAUCCCUCCAUGAGGCAAACACGAGACAAUCUCCACAAGAAAAUGGUAAGACAACAAAUAAAAAAUGAAGAAAAAAAUAAAAAUGAGGCUAC